rnacentral:rRNA from 1 species
UACGUAGGGGGCGAGCGUUGUCCGGAGUGACUGGGCGUAAAGAGCGCGCAGGCGGUUUUGUAAGCCAGAUGUGAAAUCCCCGGGCUUAACCUGGGAAUGGCAUUUGGGACUGCAAGGCUUGAGUGCGGCAGAGGAGACUGGAAUUCCUGGUGUAGCAGUGAAAUGCGUAGAUAUCAGGAGGAACACCGAUGGCGAAGGCAGGUCUCUGGGCUGACACUGACGCUCAUGCACGAAAGCGUGGGGAGCAAACAGG